AGUCAUAUGCUUGUCUCAAAGAUUAAGCCAUGCAUGUCUAAGUAUAAGCGACUAUACUGUGAAACUGCGAAUGGCUCAUUAAAUCAGUUAUGGUUUAUUUGAUGGUACCUACUACUUGGAUAACCGUAGUAAUUCUAGAGCUAAUACAUGCAGGAAGACCCGACUUCGGAAGGGUUGUAUUUAUUAGAUAAGAAACCAAUCCAGCUUGCUGGUUGCGUGCCGAGUCACAAUAACUGCUCGAAUCGCAUGGCUUUACGCCGGCGAUGGUUCAUUCAAAUUUCUGCCCUAUCAGCUUUCGAUGGUAGGAUCGAGGCCUACCAUGGCGUUUACGGGUAACGGAGAAUUAGGGUUCGAUUCCGGAGAGGGAGCCUGAGAGAUGGCUACCACAUCCAAGGAAGGCAGCAGGCGCGUAAAUUGCCCGAAUCCUGACACAGGGAGGUAGUGACAAGAAAUAACAAUACAGGGCUACAUCUAGUCUUGUAAUUGGAAUGAGUACAAUUUACAUCCCUUAUCGAGUAUCAAU
rnacentral:rRNA from 1 species